rnacentral:rRNA from 1 species
GAUGCAGCCAUGCCGCGUGUAUGAAGAAGGCCUUCGGGUUGUAAAGUACUUUCAGCAGUGAGGAAGGGUGUGAAGUUAAUAGCUUCAUAUCUUGACGUUAGCUGCAGAAGAAGCACCGGCUAACUCCGUGCCAGCAGCCGCGGUAAUACGGAGGGUGCGAGCGUUAAUCGGAAUUACUGGGCGUAAAGCGCAUGCAGGUGGUUUGUUAAGUCAGAUGUGAAAGCCCGGGGCUCAACCUCGGAACCGCAUUUGAAAACUGGGCAGGCUAGAGUACUGUAGAGGGGGGUAGAAUUUCAGGUGUAGCGGUGAAAUGCGUAGAGAUCUGAAGGAAUACCAGUGGCGAAGGCGGCCCCCCUGGACAGAUACUGACACUCAGAUGCGAAAGCGUGGGGAGCAAACAGGAUUAGAUACCCUGGUAGUCCACGCCGUAAACGAUGUCUACUUGGAGGUUGUGGCCUUGAGCCGUGGCUUUCGGAGCUAACGCGUUAAGUAGACCGCCUGGGGAGUACGGUCGCAAGAUUAAAACUCAAAUGAAUUGACGGGGGCCCGCACAAGCGGUGGAGCAUGUGGUUUAAUUCGAUGCAACGCGAAGAACCUUACCUACUCUUGACAUCCAGAGAACUUUUCAGAG